rnacentral:rRNA from 1 species
AGUGAACGCUGGCGGCGUGCCUAAUACAUGCAAGUCGAACGGAGUGGCGCACGGGUGAGUAAUGUAUAGCUAAUCUGCCCUACACUAGAGGACAACAGUUGGGAACGGCUGCUAAUGCUCUAUAGGGGAGGAUGAGGCUAUUUUGUAUCAGCUAGUUGGUGAGGUAUUGGCUCACCAAGGCUAUGACGCAUAACUGGUCUGAGAGGAUGAUCAGUCAGACUGGAACUGAGACACCGGCCAGACUCCUACGGGAGGCAGCAGUAGGGAAUAGUGCUCAAUGGGGGAAACCCUGAAGCAGCAACGCCGCGUGGAGGAUGACACUGUUCGGAGCGUAAACUCCUUUUGUUAGGGAAGCGGUACCUAACGAAUAAGCACCGGCUAACUCCGUGCCAGCAGCCGCGGUAAUUC